CAUGCUGCUGCGCUGCUAAAGUUUGCCGGAUUAAAACUGAUUACUAUCGCCAAGUCUAGCAAGCGUUUCAGGAGCUGGCAACAUCAGCGUAUCAUAAUGGCGGCGCUCUUGCGGUGACCGAUUUCAA
rnacentral:lncRNA from 1 species